GUGUCUGUGCUUAUGAGGGGUAAGGCAGUUAUCGUGGUGUUCUGUGAGUUUCAGCUAUAUUGGCUCGGGGGUUACAGUUCCAUCUGCCACGUAUGUGGUCCAUGGGUACCAGGUCAAUGCACACCGCUCCGAUCUCCCGUGGAGGUCGGCCGUCAGGGUCUCCAUUGAGUAUAUGUCCUCUACCACUGACAUCCAUUGCCCCAAGGUGGGCGCUCUUGGCUGUUUCCACAUCCUCGGGAUAAGGGAUUUGGCGGC